CAGCCGCCGCGGUAAUACGUAGGGGGCGAGCGUUGUCCGGACUUAUUGGGCGUAAAGCGCGCGCAGGCGGUCCUUUAAGUCUGAUGUGAAAGCCCACGGCUCAACCGUGGAGGGUCAUUGGAAACUGGGGGACUUGAGUGCAGGAGAGGAGAGCGGAAUUCCACGUGUAGCGGUGAAAUGCGUAGAGAUGUGGAGGAACACCAGUGGCGAAGGCGGCUCUCUGGCCUGUAACUGACGCUGAGGCGCGAAAGCGUGGGGAGCAAACAGGAUUAGAUACCCUGGUAGUCCACGCCGUAAACGAUGAGUGCUAAGUGUUAGAGGGGUCACACCCUUUAGUGCUGCAGCUAACGCGAUAAGCACUCCGCCUGGGGAGUACGGCCGCAAGGCUGAAACUUAAAGGAAUUGGCGGG
rnacentral:rRNA from 1 species